AUUACAGGUGUAAGCCACCAUGCCCGGCUUCCAUUUACCUUCAAGGCUAGGAGACAGCUGAACCAGUCUUUUCUCUGGCUCUCCUGGGUCAGCCCUCCACCCAUCUCACUGGUGUAUUCUAGAAUGGUCCCAUCCCCUCCAGACAACGCUAGACCAGGGAUGGUUAGACGGUGACACUCUGCCAUCCUGUGCACGUGGCAGACAUCAAUGACAGAUCACAGAGUGCGUUGCUCUGUGCUCUGGGAGCCAGCGGAUCUGCUGUCACCACACAAAAUAAACCACUUUGCUAUUC